CGUCGUUCGGCCGGCCGGACCGGCGCACGGGUGAGUAACACGUAUGCAACCUGCCCGUGGCAGGGGGAUAAGCGGGGGAAACCCCGUCUAAUACCGCGUAACGCGGCCUAGGGACAUCCCAAGGCCGCCAAAGGGAGCAAUCCCGGCCACGGAUGGGCAUGCGGCGCAUUAGCUAGUCGGCGGGGUAACGGCCCACCGAGGCGACGAUGCGUAGGGGUUCUGAGAGGAAGGUCCCCCACAUUGGAACUGAGACACGGUCCAAACUCCUACGGGAGGCAGCAG
rnacentral:rRNA from 1 species